rnacentral:rRNA from 1 species
GAUGAACGCUGGCGGCGUGCCUAAUACAUGCAAGUCGAGCGAACGGACGAGAAGCUUGCUUCUCUGAUGUUAGCGGCGGACGGGUGAGUAACACGUGGAUAACCUACCUAUAAGACUGGGAUAACUUCGGGAAACCGGAGCUAAUACCGGAUAAUAUUUUGAACCGCAUGGUUCAAAAGUGAAAGACGGUCUUGCUGUCACUUAUAGAUGGAUCCGCGCUGCAUUAGCUAGUUGGUAAGGUAACGGCUUACCAAGGCAACGAUGCAUAGCCGACCUGAGAGGGUGAUCGGCCACACUGGAACUGAGACACGGUCCAGACUCCUACGGGAGGCAGCAGUAGGGAAUCUUACGCAAUGGGCGAAAGCCUGACGGAGCAACGCCGCGUGAGUGAUGAAGGUCUUCGGAUCGUAAAACUCUGUUAUUAGGGAAGAACAUAUGUGUAAGUAACUGUGCACAUCUUGACGGUACCUAAUCAGAAAGCAACGGCUAACUACGUG